rfam:Acidiferrobacter thiooxydans strain ZJ Contig_122, whole genome shotgun sequence.
GUCAACUACCCCGCCCUAAAGGACGGAGCUUGGAGGUAACAACCGAAAAGUUGGGUUGACCAGGGAGCACAGGAUGGUUCUGUGCAGACGUCAGCAAUAGGUCGUUACGACCCACUCCGGGAUGCUUCCUCAGUCCCGGACACUGGAAGGGUGGGAUCAUGCUGCGGAAAGGUAAAGCCGCGAAGGUUCCAUCCGCUCUCGCGUAGGCCAUACCCCCACACAAAGGGGGUUGUCCACGGCCCACAGGCCAUAGCGGCCUGCAAUGCAAUGAGAGAGGAGCCGGUUGCUGACCAUCCCGAGGGGAGAGACCC